AUAUAUGCCAUACUUGAAAUCCUGUAGACGUGCAGGUUUGAGGACGUUCUUGGCGACGUGAGUGCUCGAGGCUUAGCAUGGCGCUACCUCAUUUUUAUUUUGCUUGGAGUCUAAUAUAGACUCAGAUUAGGACAGUGUCGGGAUUAUGUUUAUUUACUUUUGGAUUUCUGUUGUGAUGAUGUUAUUUAUGUAUUUCAGAGACUGGAUAUAUGUUGUUGAGAUGCUGAGACAUCUGAUGAUUUUAUUUGUUUAUUCCGCUGCGAGUUUUUCUGUUGUCAUAUCUC
rnacentral:lncRNA from 1 species